AUACUAAUCAUCUGGGGAUCUUGUUAAAAUGCAGGUUCUGAUUCAAUAGGUCUGGGUUGGAGCCCAAGAUUCUGCACUUCUAAUAAGCUUGCAGCUGAUGCUGAU
rnacentral:pre_miRNA from 1 species